ensembl:lncRNA
AUGUUGAGUCAUUCGCUCAGCUCUCCAGCUUACAGCUGAAAUCCCUUGCCAUUGAGCAUUCUCAGGUCUACGAUAUAACACUGGAGCCAUCAUUCUGUUGAAGCCAUCAUGUUUUUGUGACUGGCUGCAGCACUGGUACCAUGCGUCUAGUGACCCUGGAGAUGAAACUCCUAUCAACUUCAACAGCAGUAUUGCUUGUUGUGGAGCAGUAGCCUUAUUCUUUUUGAUAGUAUCUCACAGCAGGAGAGUAACAAAGUUAGCUGUUUCUAUAGCUGCUCUUAGUCUCUGAUCCUCCCUUGCUGCCUACAAUCAAGUGCAUAAUAACUUUGCCAUGUACUUAGCAUGUAAUCAUGUAAUUCAGACAGCAGUUAUAGGUGACUGGUGGAUGAAGUGCACCUGCUGGCAGCACGAGGGCCUGUACACAGACCUGUACUUCAUCUUCUGCAGAAUGGGGUCCUGCACGAUGGGGAAAUUCUUGAAAGUUUGGAAUUCAUUCAGGUCACACAUGUUGGUGCUCUCAAGUAGAUAUUUGGUUAUGCAAUGAACUAGCUUGCUGGCUCUCCGAACAAUUUUUGUGUAGGAAAACAAAAGCAUGGGCAUGGGAAGAAAAUUACAUAUUGGAAAUCAGUGUAUCUGACAGACUGUGCUAGUAUGUAAUAUUUUUCAAAUUAAUACCUGAUUUUACUGAUACUAAUUCUGCAUAUCUUACUGGAUUCUUACCAGUUCAUCAUCAUAAAUAUUAAUAUUAAAAUGAAAAACAUUAGUAGUGAUUUUACUCAAGUCUAGCUCAGUUAUGUUCCCAGAAGACAGCAUCACAGACUCCAUACUUGCUGUGUCUUGGUGGCUCCCAUGUCCAAUAGCCAGCGUUAAAUAACAAAAUACCUUUAGGAUGUUCAAUUCUGACAAAUUCCACAGGAAUUCAAAUACCGUGCUGGGCUUUUUCAUUCACAGUAAUGAUUCUGCAAGCAGAACUUCAUUAAUUCUGUUGACAAUGAAUGUGCCAAAAGAGAAUUCAAAUCGCUCCAUUUUCCAGAGCUUUACCACUUCGGAAUACUAAGAUAUAAACUCAAAAGUUAGUCGGAUGCUGUUCUCAGUUCAAGUGCAAAACCUAUCUUAUGUAAAUCCUUGGUUGGAUUUUUUUCACACGUACCAGAAUAAGUUCUAGAUCGCAUUAAAGGUUUGUCUCUAAAAAACAACCUGUUCCUCUGAAAAUCAAUUAGCAGGUCCUGCUUUACAAAGGUUUUUCCCAAUAUAUUGUUGCAAUAUAUACGUAUUCUAUCUCACCACAUUAUUUACUGUUCGUUAUUGGUCUGUACGGACAGUGAAGGCAGUCGGAGAAAAUCUUUCAUUUUCUAAAGUCUUCCUUAAAAAUGGUUUAAAUAGCAUGCAAAUUUUACGGCUCUGAAAACGAAGUUGUGAUUAGACAAAGAUUUGUUGGAUUAUAAAAGUACAAGUGUUUAUUAUGGCUGGUACUGAGAAUAAACAGUUGCCUGCAUAUGCCAGCUACUAUGGAAAUAUGUUUUUAAGUUCUAAUGUGAGCUGUAAACCAAAGCUACUUCAGUUUAAAAAAAUCAAUACUUAAACUGUGGGGAGAAGUAGUUGGUGCCAGAGAAAACAUUCCCAUUUAAUAAUGUUUGAACAUAGAGCUGUGAUGCAGUUUGUAGCAAGGCAGUGAGAAAAACCCACAACUAAUCCUUCAUUGCAGCUGUCUGAACUUUUGGUUGUCUGCCAUACUUUAAACAGCAACUUCUUUUUUCUGGUGACUCAAGACUUGAAUGACCCAGUGUGGAGAGUUUAAGCUAUACAAAAAAAAAAAAAAAAGAGAGAGAGAGAGAAGUUGAGUAAGAAAUAGCCAAAGUAAGUUGGGUUGCACACCCCAGCAAACCAACGCUUUGUAUCUUAAGUCCUCUUCAGUGCUUAGAAAAAAUAUAUAUAU